CCUACGGGAGGCAGCAGUAGGGAAUUUUGCGCAAUGGGCGAACGCCUGACGCAGCAACGCCGCGUGAACGAGACGCCCUUCGGGGUGUAAAGUUCUGUCAGUGGGGACGAAAAAUGCCGGUACCCACAGAGGAAGCACCGGCUAACUCCGUGCCAGCAGCCGCGGUAAUACGGAGGGUGCAAGCGUUGUCCGGAAUCAUUGGGCGUAAAGGGGUCGUAGGCGGCAUGGAAAGUCAGGUGGUAAAGGCGCAGGCUCAACCUGUGUAUGGCACUUGAUACUUGCAAGCUGGAGUGCGGUAGAGGUAAAGGGAAUGCGUGGUGUAGCGGUGAAAUGCUUAGAUAUCAGGAGGAACAUCGGUGGCGUAAGCGGUUUACUGGGCCGUAAUUGACGCUGAGGAACGAAAGCCAGGGUAGCAAAUGGGAUUAGAUACCCCAGUAGUC
rnacentral:rRNA from 1 species